rnacentral:rRNA from 1 species
AUGCCUCCCCUCCUCACCUCCCCCGCCUCCCUCUCCUCCUCCCCCCUCCGCCUCGCCUCCCACCUCGGCGGCGCCGCCCUCCGUCCUACCUCCCACCACCACCGUCGGUUCCUCGCCCCCGCUCCCCAAACCGCGGCGCGGGGCCCCACCACCAGCGGCGGGUUCGCGGCGAUGAGCUGGCUCGGGAAGCUGGGGCUGGGGGGCGGGGGAAGCCCGCGCGCGUCGGAGGCGUCGGCGGCGCUGGCGCAGGGGCCCGACGAGGACAAGCCGGCGCCCGGGAGCGAGUUCGCCCAGUUCGGGGCCGGCUGCUUCUGGGGCGUGGAGCUGGUGUUCCAGCGCGUGCCCGGGGUCACCCGCACCGAGGUCGGCUACAGCCAGGGCGCCUUCCACGACCCCACCUACGAGGACGUCUGCACCGGCGCCACCGGCCACAACGAGGUCGUCCGCGUCCAGUACGACCCCGCCGCCUGCAAGUACGAUGACCUCCUCGACACCUUCUGGGCGCGCCACGACCCGACCACGCCCAAUCGCCAGGGGGGCGACGUCGGAACCCAGUACAGGUCAGGGAUCUACUACUACACAUCGGAGCAGGAGAAGGCGGCGCUCGAGUCUAUGGAGAAGCAGCAGAAGGCUCAGAACCGGAAGAUAGUCACUGAGAUCCUCCCGGCGAAGAGGUUCUACAGGGCGGAGGAGUACCACCAGCAGUACCUUGCGAAGGGCGGUCGCUUUGGCUUCAAACAGUCCACGGAGAAGGGCUGCAACGACCCCAUCCGCUGCUAUGGAUGA